GACGAACGCUGGCGGCGUGCUUAACACAUGCAAGUCGAACGGAAAGGCCCUGCUUUUGUGGGGUGCUCGAGUGGCGAACGGGUGAGUAACACGUGAGUAACCUGCCCUUGACUUUGGGAUAACUUCAGGAAACUGGGGCUAAUACCGGAUAGGAGCUCCUGCUGCAUGGUGGGGGUUGGAAAGUUUCGGCGGUUGGGGAUGGACUCGCGGCUUAUCAGCUUGUUGGUGGGGUAGUGGCUUACCAAGGCUUUGACGGGUAGCCGGCCUGGGAGGGUGACCGGCCACAUUGGGACUGAGAUACGGCCCAGACUACUACGGGAGGCAGCAGUGGGGAAUAUUGCACAAUGGGCGGAAGCCUGAUGCAGUAACGCAGCGUGCGGGAUGACGGCCUUCGGGUUGUAAACCGCUUUCGCCUGUGACGAAGCGUGAGUGACGGUAAUGGGUAAAGAAGCACCGGCUAACUACGUG
rnacentral:rRNA from 1 species